CAGCAACUUGGAGGAAUGUAGUAAUGAUUAUGUCGUAUAAAGUUCUAGAUAAAAAACUGAUAAUGACAACUUUUUAUCUAUUAGUCUUGACCAAAUUACGUGCCAGCAGUCGCGGCAACACGCAGAAGACAAGUGUUAUUCAUCUUUAAUCGGUUUAAAGGGUACCUAGACGGAAAAUCAAGCCAAAGGCAAAAGUAAAGCCACAGUAGGGACUAGUUUUCUAGAGUUUAAUGAAAGAAAGUCGAAUAUCUGGAGUAGAGAGACAAUAUUUCGAUACCAGAGAGACGGGUAACGGCGUAGGCAACUUUCUAUGUAAAAACUGACGUUGAGGGACGAAGCCCUGGGUAGCGAUAAGGAUUAGAUACCCUAGUAGUCCAGGGAGACAAUGAUGAAUGCCAUAAGCUAGGUAUAUUAGUUUAUAAAUGAAAGUGUAAGCAUUCCACCUCAUGAAUAAGGCGGCAACGCAUAAAUUGAAAUCAUUAGACCGUUUCUGAAACCAGUAGUGAAGUAUGUUAUUUAAUUCGAUGAUCCGCGAAUAACCUUACCACGUUUUGUAUAUUAUUUAAUUAAUACAAGCGCUGCACGGCUGUCUUUAGUUAAUGUCGUGAGACUUUGGUUAAUUCCUUUAAUUAACGCAAACCCUUGUUUUAUUUAUAUAUAAAACAGUUCUCCGCUAUAUUGGAUAAGAUAAUAGGGAUUAAGGCAAGUCAUCAUGGCCUUUAUAACGUGGGCUAUAGACGUGCCACAUAUGCCUUCACAAAGGGAUGCAAUAUUGUGAAAUAAAGCUAAUCCUUAAAAUAGGACAUAACUAAUCGUGGAU
rnacentral:rRNA from 1 species